AGUUACACCCCUUUAGGCAGGAUUAUCUCUGAGCCACACAACCCAGUUCCUGUUCCAGUAAGGUGUGGCCACUCCCCACAGAUGUGGUGCUCAAGCUGAAGUCCUGCAGUAUCC